GGGGACCCGCAAGCGGUGGAUGAUGUGGAUUAAUUCGAUGCAACGCGAAAAACCUUACCUACCCUUGACAUGUACGGAAGACCGAAGAGAUUUGGUUGUGCUCGAAAGAGAACCGUAACACAGGUGCUGCAUGGCUGUCGUCAGCUCGUGUCGUGAGAUGUUGGGUUAAGUCCCGCAACGAGCGCAACCCUUGUCAUUAGUUGCUACAUUUAGUUGAGCACUCUAAUAAGACUGCCGGUGACAAACCGGAGGAAGGUGGGGAUGACGUCAAGUCCUCAUGGCCCUUAUGGGUAGGGCUUCACACGUCAUACAAUGGUACAUACAGAGGGCCGCCAACCCGCGAGGGGGAGCUAAUCCCAGAAAGUGUAUCGUAGUCCGGAUCGCAGUCUGCAACUCGACUGCGUGAAGUUGGAAUCGCUAGUAAUCGCGGAUCAGCAUGUCGCGGUGAAUACGUUCCCGGGUCUUGUACACACC
rnacentral:rRNA from 1 species